rnacentral:rRNA from 1 species
UACGUAGGUGACCAGCGUUGUCCGGAUUUACUGGGCGUAAAGAGCGCGCAGGCGGUCGAUCAAGUCGAGUGUGAAAGCCCCCGGCUCAACUGGGGAGGGUCAUUCGAUACUGAUCGACUCGAAGGCAGGAGAGGGUAGUGGAAUUCCCGGUGUAGUGGUGAAAUGCGUAGAUAUCGGGAGGAACACCAGUGGCGAAGGCGACUACCUGGCCUGUCCUUGACGCUGAGGCGCGAAAGCUAGGGGAGCAAACGGG